rnacentral:rRNA from 1 species
UGCGAACUCCUACGGGAGGCAGCAGUGAGGAAUAUUGGUCAAUGGACGCAAGUCUGAACCAGCCAAGUAGCGUGCAGGAUGACGGCCCUCUGGGUUGUAAACUGCUUUUAGUUGGGAAUAAAAAAGAGGACGUGUCCUCUAUUGUAUGUACCUUCAGAAAAAGGACCGGCUAAUUCCGUGCCAGCAGCCGCGGUAAUACGGAAGGUCCAGGCGUUAUCCGGAUUUAUUGGGUUUAAAGGGAGCGUAGGCUGGAGAUUAAGUGUGUUGUGAAAUGUAGACGCUCAACGUCUGAAUUGCAGCGCAUACUGGUUUCCUUGAGUACGCACAACGUUGGCGGAAUUCGUCGUGUAGCGGUGAAAUGCUUAGAUAUGACGAAGAACUCCGAUUGCGAAGGCAGCUGACGGGAGCGCAACUGACGCUUAAGCUCGAAGGUGCGGGUAUCAAACAGGAUUAGAUACCCUUGUAGUCCU